rnacentral:tRNA from 1 species
AGGGAUAUAGCUCGGUGGUGGAGCGCGUGCUUAGCAUGCACGAGGUCCUGGGUUCAAUCCCCAGUGCCUCUG